rnacentral:rRNA from 1 species
UCUUUAGUUGCCAUCAGUUCGGGCUGGGCACUCUAUGGAGACUGGCCACCUAAAGUGGAGGAAGGUGGGGAUGACGUCAAGUCAGCAUGGCCCUUACGUCCGGGGCUACACACGUGCUACAAUGGCCGGUACAAAGGGUUGCGAAGCCGUGAGGUGGAGCGAAUCUCAAAAAGCCGGCCUCAGUUCGGAUUGGAGGCUGCAACUCGCCUCCAUGAAGUCGGAAUCGCUAGUAACCGCAGAUCAGCUACGUUGCGGUGAAUACGUUCCCGGGCCUU